rnacentral:misc_RNA from 1 species
CGUAAUUGAUAAGGACGUAGGAUAAUAGAAUUUCUGCAAGUUCAGCCUUUUACAAACAAUUUAAUUGAAAGUUAUUUAUGCGAGAGGCUAUCAAAAAACUGCACUGGUUACAAAAUGGGGUUGAUUACGUCUUGUUGUAGACCUUCGGCCUCCGAUGUGAUGACUCCUGAUGCAGAGACCAGACGGCGGCAACUGGUAGAAGCAGCUGAGAAGAGGCGGUUGGAAGAAGAGGCUCGUGGAGUAAAAGAUCCCACCAAAGUCAAGCGCAUGAUGGCGCGCAGUGAAGAAAUGGAGAAACGGGAGAAACAACUGGAGAAGGAAGGCGGGGCUGCACUCAGGUGGACAUCAAACUGAAGUGCUGGCCUGCUUGGAAAACCCCAAAUAAUCAUGGGUGAGACAUGAGAUAAACGCAAGUCACAUGCAUCGACAAAAUGCAAUAUUUUCAUAUCACACGGUCACUUAUCAAGUAACAACUUAGGCUUUGUUUCAUAGUAAUGACUUGGCAGCAAGUGACAAUAAUAUAGAGCUAUAUAAUUACAAACCUUUUUACUUAAAAUUUUGAUAAUUAAACUGCCAAUCGGCUACUUACUUAGUUCUCGAAUAGUAUAAGUAUAAUAACCACUUACACCAUUCUUAGUUCUCGAAUGGUAUAAUAUAAUAACCACUUAUACCAUUCGAGAACUAAGAAUGGGAACUAUUUCCUAAUCUGCUUUUCUUAUCGAUAAUAGUUCGCGCAUGUUCGAAUACUAAGCCUAGGUCCUUUAAUGUGAAGCAAUAACAGGUUACAUGCUGAUUGCCUAUAAUGCAUGUAAACAACUGCGGAGUGGUCACAACAUUUUAUAAAGAAUAAACCAAAUUGUGCUCUUAUACUACUUAGAUGUAAUGUGCGUUGUUUAAGGUCACUUUGGCAAGUAAUAACGACAUUAAUAAUAGUGAUUUGUAUCAUUUUUACAUAUGGUGAUUGAGUCAUAUGGCUAGAUAAAAUUGCCAAGUCAAGACUGAGGUCUAAUAAAAUAUAAAUCAACAAUAGAUACUGUGAGACUGUUUUGUAACAUUUAGAUUUUUUUCUACUAUCUGUAUAUAUUUUGACAGUUGCGCUAAACGAAUUCAACUUUGCGCCCGUUCCUCUUUGACAAACCCUACCCAACCCUAAAACUAAGUUUUCGUGGUGUAUCACACACCUUACACCGUGCAAAGAAUAAUAAUUAACCCUUUCACGGACAGAGACCAUGGGUCAUUGACGGUUCAUAAUAGGUAAUAUGACACCUUGGAAUCGGAACGUCAUUAGACGUUCUGUCCUUGAAAAUGUUAAUAAUUUUGACUCUUAUUUAUAUCCUAUGCACGUCUUCUUUUCGUCUUCACAACGCCACUGGCGUAUUUCUUCCUUACUGGAGCCUUAUUUUUGAAUCGCUUGCUUUCAUCUCACGUUCGUAUGAUACAGGUAUACAUUUAAGCACGCUAGUUGAAGGCGAGCGAUUCAAAUUAAGGCCCCCGGUGUUCUUGUAAACUUAACAACACCAUCUAUCGUGUUUGGGUAACGUCGGUUGAAGCGUUCCUCAAUCUCUAAUAAUUUGUUGCAGAAUAUCAAUAAAAUUUGUUAAAGGGCUUCCCAUACCCAGACGUGAGAAGAACUACGCGUUAUUAUGAUUCGUUGCAACCCCAUCCCACCAGAUGGUUGUCAAUCCCAUCUAUCACUGACUCUGAAACACUACUUAGUGUUUGAUUGUUUAUAAUAGGUAAUAUGACACCUUGGAAUCAUAACGUCUUUAGACGUUCUGUCCUUGAAAGUGUUAAUCAUUUUCACUCUUAUUUCUAUUCUAUCUGUCAUGUAUGUCUUUAUCACUGUCUGUCAUAAUCGUUUGCAACUUAGCUGAGGCUCCUGGGUAAGUGGACGCGUACCUUUAUUCAACGUCUGGGUAAGAGGAGUGACAAAAUUAUAAAGAAUAUUUAGUACAUUUGUUAUCUUAAUUUUAAGUCGCAUAAAAUAAUUGUCAUUUAAUACUCUGGAUGGAUUUGAGAUAGCAUGGCAUUUGUCUUUUUUGAUAAUUUCAAGCACGUUACACGUUAAUUGGAUAUUUAUUUCGGGUUAUUGUAUACCAAUAGCAGCGGGGAGGCAAGCACUUUCUGAAAAUAUUGAAUAAUAACUUUAUUAACAUUGUCAUUAAGUACUCUGUUCUCUCUACCAAAUAUCACGUCGAGACACCUUGAGCUGGCGCAAGCUACUUGUCUUUGUCGGAUAAUAUUGCAUUUCAUCAGAAUGGUAAUAAAGUUAUUUUGUUCAGUGCCAACAGUAAGUGAUCGCCUCUUCGAUGCUCUUGGUCUGCGCAGACCCUUAUAUUAUUUUAAACCGAUUGAAUACCAAUUUAUAUUUGCAUGCGUAUGUCAACCAACACCUUGGCAUAUACAUGAUGGUAUAUAUAUUUUUAAUAAUAAUUCCAUAUCAUAUUAUGUAAUAAAUAACAAGUCAUCGAUUUAAAAGACUGUCCGACUUAAUGUUAAUUAUUUAAAAUUUAUUUUACUAACAGAACAGUGGGUAUUUAUAUACUAAAGCGGGCUUAGGACCCUCGCUGGCUUAGCCAAGUUGCGUGUGUGUAUAUGUAUACAGGGUGUUACUGACACCGUACAGAAAAUAAAAUGUUAGUAUUAACCAGUAAGUAGUAACCGGGACCAGCGGCUUAGCGUGCCUUCCGAAGAACAGAUAAUCUUACUUACUAGGAGGUAUUAUCGUAACUAAACCAUGGUCCAGAAAGUAAUUUUUGUGAUAUGUCCCCACCGGGAUUCUAACCCGGGACCUUCGGAUCGUGAGCCCAACGCUCAUCCACUGGACCACGGUGGUUGAUGAUUCGCACGAGUUUAAACGUUAGCGACUGUAGAAAAAGAAACAUUUGCAACUUGGCUAGGCGCUCUGUAGCUUCACCGAAAUUACUUUAUAAAUGAUGUACAGCUAAAACAUCUUCAAAAUAAAUAAGUAACAGUCUCAUUGGAUCAUUAUUCACAAAAAUAAACACUAACAAAUUGUUGUAAGCUAUGUAAAAAAAUAUUCAGAAAUAAACAAUUUUUAUGAGGUAUUUACGAGUAUAAAUAUAUAUGUUUUAACCAAAUAUAUUGCCUUGAAAGCUGUAUAAGGGAACACACUACCUUAAUUAAGUACUGUUAAAGGGAAUAAUUACUUUAGAAACUUUCCAGGCAACGUUCCCCGAAAAAAUAGAUGGCGCUGUACAGAGUUCGCUUCUUAUAAUCUUCUAAUUUCAUGAAUAACAGACUUAUGCAUCUUUUAUCUUUGUUUUUGGAUAUAAGUGAUGACCCUUGUUACACCCAAGCACAACACAUCUUCCACCCAUUAUUAUUCUUAGGGUUGCCAUCCGUCCGGGUUUCCCCGGAUUUGUCCUAGUUUAGAGGGCAUCCGGGGAACGUCCGGGGAAGGUUUCAUUUGUAAACCGGGUUUUAAAAAAUUAAUAAAUAAAAAUAAAGUAUAUUUAUAUGUUUUUGUUUAAUAUUUUAAUAAUGUUUUGUUUUAUUAUUUCUAAAAUUAAAAAGCUAAAUUAUAUAAACAAUUUGUAACAAAUUGUAAUAUGAUUCUGUUUUGUUAAAAUAAUGAAUGAAUAAAAAAAUGUUUUUUAUUACAUUGAAUAUGUUUAAAAGAUCUUGUUGACAUGUCCGGUUUUCGGACUCUAAAAUCCGGGGUUUCACGCGUGUUGUCCUGUUUUCCAAAUUUUAGAGAUGGCAACCCUAAUUAUUCUGAUCACAAUAAAGAGAAGCUGUAGGUAGCAACAUAAUUCUAUAUCAUAUCUGAUCCAAAUAUAAAGCAACAAUUAUUUUUAUAUUCAAAUUGAAAUUGAAAUUCAAAAAUAUAUUUAUUCAGUAGGUAACAUAGUUACACUUUUAAUCGUAUUUUUUUACAUAAUGAACGUCUUAUCAGCCUUAAAACUACUGCAGUUUCUCACAACCUGUAUAGCCGGGGAAAAGAAGCUGCAAGAAAAACAUGCCUCUGCCUAUAAUAUGUACCCGCGCAAAGAGAAAAUAGGUAAUUAUUAGGUUAAAUCUGUACAACGUUGUUGUUUCACCAAUCUAUGUUGUUUUUAAGGAACGUGGCCUAGGAAGUCCUUCAUUUCCCCUUAAUAACAUUAUAUCUUAGAUAAGGCUGCCUGUUCACCGGCAGCAGAGCGGAGAAACAGGAGAAUAUUAACAGAUAGGAUUGCGUAAACUAGUUCGCAACUCGAAUUUAACAGAUCAAUUAUUUUCUAAGUUGGUUUAAAAUGGAUCAUGGAACAAGCACUUAUUUUCUUCCUACGAAGGUCCUAAUAUUUUUUGAUGCAUAGAUUACGCGACUCUAUAUAAUUAUGCUCCGUAGAGCUUAAGUUCAUAUACUAGCGGAGCUUAGGCCUCUGCGAGCAAUCGAGGUUGAAGGGCAGGUCGCACUUCUCUUGAUCAGCACGAAGUAUGGAUUAAUUUAUCUCCGUUCCGUUGCUUCGCUCCGCUUCAAACAGGUAGCCUUAAGGUCUUCCCACAUAGGGUAGUUUACUAAUCUCAGCUUCGAGACUGCCCUCAAGAUCAUGUCAUUGUGACAGUUCUUAUAUAAAACAGGGACUUGAGCAUGAUCUUGAGGGCAGUCUCAGCUGAGAUUAGUUUAUUAAUAUCAUCCACAAAGGGGGUUUGUUGAUUUAUCCAGCAUAAGUUGGUCGGAUCUGCGCGGCUUCUAGAGUACGCCCGUAUUGUAUGAUUAAGUAAAUAAAUAAUACUAUAAAAUAUCACGGUUGCACUGAAUUUGGCACUGAAUAGGUAGGUAAGUGAUUUUUGUAUUUGUAAACGUAUUAUAAUUAUAAAUAUAUGUUUUCCAAGGAAUGUGA